rnacentral:rRNA from 1 species
UACGGAGGGUGCAAGCGUUAUCCGGAUUCACUGGGUUUAAAGGGUGCGUAGGUGGGCAAGUAAGUCAGUGGUGAAAUCUCCGGGCUUAACCCGGAAACUGCCAUUGAUACUAUUUGUCUUGAAUACUGUGGAGGUCAGCGGAAUAUGUCAUGUAGCGGUGAAAUGCUUAGAUAUGACAUAGAACACCAAUUGCGAAGGCAGCUCGCUAAACUGUAACUGACGCUGAGGCACGAAAGCGUGGGUAGCAAACAGG